CACGUGAAAUUCCGUCGGAAUCUGGGAGGACCAUCUCCUAAGGCUAAAUACUCUCUAGUGACCGAUAGUGAACCAGUACCGUGAGGGAAAGGUGAAAAGCACCCCGGAAGGGGAGUGAAAUAGAACCUGAAACCGUGUGCUUACAAGUAGUCAGAGCCCGUUAAUGGGUGAUGGCGUGCCUUUUGUAGAAUGAACCGGCGAGUUACGAUUUGAUGCAAGGUUAAGCAGUAAAUGUGGAGCCGUAGCGAAAGCGAGUCUGAAUAGGGCGUUUAGUAUUUGGUCGUAGACCCGAAACCAGGUGAUCUACCCUUGGUCAGGUUGAAGUUCAGGUAACACUGAAUGGAGGACCGAACCGACUUACGUUGAAAAGUGAGCGGAUGAACUGAGGGUAGCGGAGAAAUUCCAAUCGAACCUGGAGAUAGCUGGUUCUCUCCGAAAUAGCUUUAGGGCUAGCCUCAAGUGAUGAUUAUUGGAGGUAGAGCACUGUUUGGACGAGGGGCCCCUCUCGGGUUACCGAAUUCAGACAAACUCCGAAUGCCAAUUAAUUUAACUUGGGAGUCAGAACAUGGGUGAUAAGGUCCGUGUUCGAAAGGGAAACAGCCCAGACCACCAGCUAAGGUCCCAAAAUAUAUGUUAAGUGGAAAAGGAUGUGGCGUUGCCCAGACAACUAGGAUGUUGGCUUAGAAGCAGCCAUCAUUUAAAGAGUGCGUAAUAGCUCACUAGUCGAGUGACACUGCGCCGAAAAUGUACCGGGGCUAAACAUAUUACCGAAGCUGUGGAUUGUCCUUUGGACAAUGGUAGGAGAGCGUUCUAAGGGCGUUGAAGCAUGAUCGUAAGGACAUGUGGAGCGCUUAGAAGUGAGAAUGCCGGUGUGAGUAGCGAAAGACGGGUGAGAAUCCCGUCCACCGAUUGACUAAGGUUUCCAGAGGAAGGCUCGUCCGCUCUGGGUUAGUCGGGUCCUAAGCUGAGGCCGACAGGCGUAGGCGAUGGAUAACAGGUUGAUAUUCCUGUACCACCUAUAAUCGUUUUAAUCGAUGGGGGGACGCAGUAGGAUAGGCGAAGCGUGCGAUUGGAUUGCACGUCUAAGCAGUAAGGCUGAGUAUUAGGCAAAUCCGGUACUCGUUAAGGCUGAGCUGUGAUGGGGAGAAGACAUUGUGUCUUCGAGUCGUUGAUUUCACACUGCCGAGAAAAGCCUCUAGAUAGAAAAUAGGUGCCCGUACCGCAAACCGACACAGGUAGUCAAGAUGAGAAUUCUAAGGUGAGCGAGCGAACUCUCGUUAAGGAACUCGGCAAAAUGACCCCGUAACUUCGGGAGAAGGGGUGCUCUUUAGGGUUAACGCCCAGAAGAGCCGCAGUGAAUAGGCCCAAGCGACUGUUUAUCAAAAACACAGGUCUCUGCUAAACCGUAAGGUGAUGUAUAGGGGCUGACGCCUGCCCGGUGCUGGAAGGUUAAGAGGAGUGGUUAGCUUCUGCGAAGCUACGAAUCGAAGCCCCAGUAAACGGCGGCCGUAACUAUAACGGUCCUAAGGUAGCGAAAUUCCUUGUCGGGUAAGUUCCGACCCGCACGAAAGGCGUAACGAUUUGGGCACUGUCUCAACGAGAGACUCGGUGAAAUCAUAGUACCUGUGAAGAUGCAGGUUACCCGCGACAGGACGGAAAGACCCCGUGGAGCUUUACUGUAGCCUGAUAUUGAAAUUCGGCACAGCUUGUACAGGAUAGGUAGGAGCCUUUGAAACGUGAGCGCUAGCUUACGUGGAGGCGCUGGUGGGAUACUACCCUAGCUGUGUUGGCUUUCUAACCCGCACCACUUAUCGUGGUGGGAGACAGUGUCAGGCGGGCAGUUUGACUGGGGCGGUCGCCUCCUAAAAGGUAACGGAGGCGCUCAAAGGUUCCCUCAGAAUGGUUGGAAAUCAUUCAUAGAGUGUAAAGGCAUAAGGGAGCUUGACUGCGAGACCUACAAGUCNNNNNNNNNNNNNNNNNNNNNNCCUGAUAUUGAAAUUCGGCACAGCUUGUACAGGAUAGGUAGGAGCCUUUGAAACGUGAGCGCUAGCUUACGUGGAGGCGCUGGUGGGAUACUACCCUAGCUGUGUUGGCUUUCUAACCCGCACCACUUAUCGUGGUGGGAGACAGUGUCAGGCGGGCAGUUUGACUGGGGCGGUCGCCUCCUAAAAGGUAACGGAGGCGCUCAAAGGUUCCCUCAGAAUGGUUGGAAAUCAUUCAUAGAGUGUAAAGGCAUAAGGGAGCUUGACUGCGAGACCUACAAGUCGAGCAGGGUCGAAAGACGGACUUAGUGAUCCGGUGGUUCCGCAUGGAAGGGCCAUCGCUCAACGGAUAAAAGCUACCCCGGGGAUAACAGGCUUAUCUCCCCCAAGAGUUCACAUCGACGGGGAGGUUUGGCACCUCGAUGUCGGCUCAUCGCAUCCUGGGGCUGUAGUCGGUCCCAAGGGUUGGGCUGUUCGCCCAUUAAAGCGGUACGCGAGCUGGGUUCAGAACGUCGUGAGACAGUUCGGUCCCUAUCCGUCGUGGGCGUAGGAAAUUUGAGAGGAGCUGUCCUUAGUACGAGAGGACCGGGAUGGACAUACCUCUGGUGUACCAGUUGUCGUGCCAACGGCAUAGCUGGGUAGCUAUGUGUGGACGGGAUAAGUGCUGAAAGCAUCUAAGCAUGAAGCCCCCCUCAAGAUGAGAUUUCCCAACUUCGGUUAUAAGAUCCCUCAAAGAUGAUGAGGUUAAUAGGUUCGAGGUGGAAGCAUGGUGACAUGUGGAGCUGACGAAUACUAAUCGAUCGAAGACUUAAUCAA
rnacentral:rRNA from 1 species